rnacentral:rRNA from 1 species
ACCCAUGAGAAAGACGGAGGCAACCCACGGCCGCAACGAUAUAUGCAUGCGUUUCAAGAGGCCAUUGAUGACUGCGAACUUAUGGACAUGGGGUUCGUAGGAGACCGAUUCACAUGGCAGCGAGGCCGGAUGAGGGAGAGACUGGACCGCGGGCUAGUUAAUGAUGCAUGGUCUGCUUUAUACCCGCAUGCAGCUCUAUAGAAUUUAAAUUAUAAUCAUUCGGAUCACAGACCUCUUUGUGUUGAUACAGAUUAUUAUUCUGAAGUUGGAGGCAGUGGUGCGGCCACUAAACGCUUCGAGGCGCGAUGGUUGAGAGAACAUACCUUCUCAGAUGUUGUACAGGAAGCGUGGGUUUCAGUGGGAUCCGACCCGGGCCUAAGUACUAUUCAUGAGAAACUGAAUCGUAUGCAUAAUGCCUUCCAUGACUGGGAUCAGAGAGUGCUCAAGAAGCCUAAGAAAAGGCUGCGGAAGGCACAGAAAGAGUUGGAGAAAAUUAUGACUGGACCUAUCAAUGAUGAAAGUGAAGAGAAAAGAAAAGAGUUGUCGGAACUGAUUUAG